rnacentral:rRNA from 1 species
UACGUAGGGUGCGAGCGUUAAUCGGAAUUACUGGGCGUAAAGCGUGCGCAGGCGGUUCGUUGUGUCGGCGGUGAAAGCCCCGGGCUCAACCUGGGAAUGGCCGUUGAAACUGGCGAACUGGUGUGUGGCAGAGGGGGGUGGAAUUCCUGGUGUAGCAGUGAAAUGCGUAGAUAUCAGGAGGAACACCGAUGGCGAAGGCAGGUCUCUGGGCUGACACUGACGCUCAUGCACGAAAGCGUGGGGAGCAAACAGG